CCUACGGGAGGCUGCAGUGAGGAAUAUUGGUCAAUGGACGGAAGCCUGAACCAGCCAUGCCGCGUGCAGGAAGACGGCCCUAUGAGUUGUAAACUGCUUUUGUACGAGGGCAAACCUGAAACCGGUUAUCGAGCUGAAAGUACUCGAAGAAUAAGGAUCGGCUAACUCCGUGCCAGCAGCCGCGGUAAUACGGAGGAUGCAAGCGUUAUCCGGAUUUAUUGGGGUUAAAGGGUGCGUAGGCGGAUGGAUAAGUUAGAGGUGAAAUGUACGGGCUUAACUCGGGAACUGCCUCUAAUACUGGUGAACUAGGAAGUAGAUGCAGUAAGCGGAAUGUAUUGUGUAGCGGUGAAAUGCUUAGAGAUCAUA
rnacentral:rRNA from 1 species